rnacentral:misc_RNA from 1 species
UAAAGUGCGAUAUGUAAUGCGAUCUGCAUGAAUCUGUGAGUCAUCAAAUCUUUGAACGCAACUUGCGCCUCUUUGAGGCAUGUCUGUUUGAGCGUCGCCAAUCACAUUAAUAUUUGACAUUGCGCAUUGCGCUUUGUUUAAAAAGAGCACGACACCAAUCAUUGGGUAGAGGUGAAUUAGAGUGCCAAGCAUCAUCCAAUUCACCCAAUCCAUCACUUUUGACCUCAAAUCAGGCAAGAUUACCCGCUGAACUUAA